rnacentral:rRNA from 1 species
GACGAACGCUGGCGGCGUGCUUAACACAUGCAAGUCGAACGGAAAGGCCCCAGCUUGCUGGGGUACUCGAGUGGCGAACGGGUGAGUAACACGUGGGUGAUCUGCCCUGCACUCUGGGAUAAGCCUGGGAAACUGGGUCUAAUACCGGAUAGGACCGUGCUUUAGUGUGUGCGGUGGAAAGUUUUUCGGUGCAGGAUGAGCCCGCGGCCUAUCAGCUUGUUGGUGGGGUAAUGGCCUACCAAGGCGGCGACGGGUAGCCGGCCUGAGAGGGUGUACGGCCACAUGGGGAUGGGGACACGGCCGAGACCCCAACGGGGGGGAGGAGGGGGGAAUAUUCCACAAGGGGCGAAAGCCUAAUGCAGGGGCGCCGGGGGGGGGAUGCCGGCCUUGGGGUGUAAAACCCCUUUCGGGAGGGAAGAAGCUUUUUGGACGGAACCUGAAAAAGAAGCCCCGGCUAACUACUU